UCACAAUGUGGCCAAAGUUGUCCUGGCAGACUUUGGAAUUUGCGGAGAAGAUUAAUCCAGGGUAUAGAAAGAUCCUAGGGGCUGGAGUGGACCAGAAAAUGACGCAGAGUCAACAAUGAAGAAAAUUUGGCUUUCAGUACUUCCUGGGAUUUUGAUCGGCAGAACGAAAGGGGAAUGAGGCAAAUUAAAUGUGCCGUACUUCAAAGUCUUGAAUCUUUCAUCAAUCUCCAAUUAGAAGGAGCAUGAAGAAAAAGAAGAUGAACAGGAAUUGACAAUGGCGCGUUCCAUACCUGGGAGUGAUUGCACAGUGGCACCCUUGGACCUAAUUUCACCCUGACAUCAAGUUGGUUUUAAGGAGAACCAUGAGAGAAAUUAAUAAAUUAAAGUUUGCCGAAUAUCAAAGAAUAACAGAGUUAUGAGGCUUCAAAGUUUUAAAUUUGUGACAUGACAUGCGAGCAGCUCCCAAUAUGUCAAUCAUGUAAUAUAAAUUCCAUAAAUUGCCAUUUUUUAAUGGUUUUCAUGAUAAUUAAAUGGGUUUUUAUCAGAAGCUUAUAUGAAAUAAUGUUUCUGAUAACAUUGAAUCCACAGGUAAAAUCAUUUUCCAAUUUCCCUAGAAAAGGCACUUGUAUAGAAUUGAUAUCACAUAAAAUAUGGGGAGCUGCUCGCAUGUGAAGUCACAAAUUUAAAACUUCAUAACUCUUAUUCUUGGUGGAUUUUCACCAACUAACAUGCAAUGUCAGGAUGAACCUUGCCUUUAAACCUUAUAUUGGCAGCCUUUCAUUGACAUUUACAUACAGUAUUUUAGGUUUUGUGAGCAAGUAUAUGAAAAAGGUGCUAAUUAACACCUACUUCCCCUUCUUAACCCUAAACAGGCCGGGGGGGGGGGGGG
rnacentral:lncRNA from 1 species